AGASGUCCCGAGCGUUGUUCGGAUUCACUGGGCGUAAARGGUGCGUAGGUGGUGGGGUAAGUCGGAUGUGAAAGCUCGGAGCUCAACUCCGAAAUGGCAUUGGAAACUACCCUGCUGGAGGUUUGGAGGGGGGACUGGAAUACUUGGUGUAGCAGUGAAAUGCGUAGAUAUCAAGUGGAACACCAGUGGCGAAGGCGAGUCCCUGGACAAAACCUGACACUGAGGCACGAAAGCUAGGGGAGCAAACAGGAUUAGAUACCCUGGUAGUCCUAGCCGUAAACGGUGCUUGCUUGCUGUAAAAGGAAUCGACCCCUUUUGUGGCGAAGCCAACGCGAUAAGCAAGCCGCCUGGGAAGUACGGUCGCAAGAUUA
rnacentral:rRNA from 1 species